GGGGAUAUGAUGGAAUGGCAGACAUACGAGACUUAAAAUCUCGGGGCCUCACAGCCGUGUGGGUUCGACCCCCACUAUCCCCA
rnacentral:tRNA from 1 species